CAGUAGCUCAGUGGUAGAGCUAUCGGCUGUUAACCGAUCGGUCGUAGGUUCGAGUCCUACCUG
rnacentral:tRNA from 11 species